UUUGAAAUAGAUUUCCGUAAAGCGUUUGCAGAAAGGGUGGGAAUAGGCGGCCAUGGCGACGGAAUCGGACGGGGAAGAGGAGACAGCGACGGCCGCGGGGAAGCUGACGGGGAGUCCUCAGCUGUCGGUUGACGACGAUCUCCGUGAGAUGGCGAAGAAGGCCGCGUGGAGCGUCAGCUCUUGCAAGCCCGGGAACGGCGUCCUCUCCCUCCGCGACGAAAACCUCGAUACCUACUGGCAAUCGGAUGGAGCCCAACCCCAUCUGGUCAAUAUCCAGUUUCAGAAGAAGGUUAAGCUGCAGCUGGUUGUCCUCUAUGUGGAUUUCAAGUUGGAUGAGAGUUACACACCAAGCAAGAUCUCAAUCCGUGCUGGUGAUGGUUUCCACAACCUAAAGGAGAUAAAAACUGUGGAGCUUGUGAAGCCAGUUGGUUGGGUCCAUAUCUCUUUGUCUGGUAAUGAUCCCCGGGAAACCUUUAUUCAUACUUUUAUGCUCCAAAUUGCUGUUUUAUCCAAUCAUCUAAAUGGAAGGGACACACACAUACGUCAAGUCAAAAUAUACGGGCCUCGACCGAACCCUGUUCCCCUUCAACCAUUUCAUUUUACUUCGAAAGAAUUCAUCACUUACUCGAUCCUUCGGUAACAAUCGUCCUUAUAGAUAUGCAGGAAGUGUGGAAGAUCAGCAGUCCUUCCUGGUGUGAGCACACUGAAAAACAAGAAUUUGUUUUAACAUUUUAUCUUGAAAUUUCCAGACAUAAUUUUGUGCAAAUUUCCGAGCUUUAUCUUGGUGCAAAAGCUCAACAAGAUUCUGAACCAAUUUACAGAGACCUGUUGGGCACAAAGGAUUUUGAUUCAGUCAAUGUUCAAGAUUCUAUGACCAUAAUGUUCUAACAGUGAUCUCCUCUGAUUUCAGACAUUUUACCUAAUAGAGAUAAUGGCAAUUAUAUUCUGGUCAAUCGCUGGGACAGCCGAAUGUGAAUGACCGCCUUGCACGAGGGAAUCAAAUGUUUACCUGUCACUAGUUGCAUUGAUUGAAGGAUGUUUUUUUAUACACAGUAAUGUAUUUGUUCUGUGACCUAAGUACAGUAUCUUCAUCCUGAUUUGUUUUUGUCCUCCAUAUCACUUGUGUAACUAGAGUUGACCCAGUAACAAAUGAGAAGAUCAAAACAGAAAUCAACAAGACGGUGUUAUUGGGAGACAAAUUUCUUGCUUAUAGAAAGUCUGAAACAGAUUAUGUUGGGAUAAGCAAAAGAUGUUCUAACAUCAUUACUCGGUUUAUUACUGCGAUUAUUUUCACUAUGUCAAUGGGCAUCGGCAACAGCAUACAUGACUUUUUGGCUGCGUCCCCGUAUCAACCAUGGCCGGGAACUUGAGCAGCACCUUCUUCUUUACAAGCAUUAGAGAAUGCAAUCAAAGAAGCUUCCAUGUAGAACAACACUUAUUCUAUCAAGGAAUGCCAGAACAUGAGAUCUGAUGCUUGAAUGAUACAUACUAGUUUCUUCAUCUUCAUACGCACUGUAGAGUAGAGCAUGGCUGUGGCUUUAUAUAGAGAAGCUAUUGAGUUCAUGGCGUCUGGUUUUGGGGUUAACACUGCAACUGAUCACACCUUUUUGAAGAUUCUCUUUCCUCUUGUCCAAGAACAAAAAAAGAUCAGAAUUUGUGGACAUUUCUUUCAAUUGUUUCCAGUUUGCCUCCCUGGGUGUUACCAAUAAUAACACAAGUUUUACGAU